rnacentral:rRNA from 1 species
GAGCGGAACGAUGAUAGCUUGCUAUCAGGCGUCGAGCGGCGGACGGGUGAGUAAUACUUAGGAAUCUACCUAGUAGUGGGGGAUAGCUCGGGGAAACUCGAAUUAAUACCGCAUACGACCUACGGGAGAAAGGGGGCAGUUUACUGCUCUCGCUAUUAGAUGAGCCUAAGUCGGAUUAGCUAGAUGGUGGGGUAAAGGCCUACCAUGGCGACGAUCUGUAGCUGGUCUGAGAGGAUGAUCAGCCACACCGGGACUGAGACACGGCCCGGACUCCUACGGGAGGCAGCAGUGGGGAAUAUUGGACAAUGGGGGCAACCCUGAUCCAGCCAUGCCGCGUGUGUGAAGAAGGCCUUUUGGUUGUAAAGCACUUUAAGCAGUGAAGAAGACUCCAUGGUUAAUACCCAUGGACGAUGACAUUAGCUGCAGAAUAAGCACCGGCUAACUCUGUGCCAGCAGCCGCGGUAAUACAGAGGGUGCAAGCGUUAAUCGGAAUUACUGGGCGUAAAGCGAGCGUAGGUGGCUUGAUAAGUCAGAUGUGAAAUCCCCGGGCUUAACCUGGGAACUGCAUCUGAUACUGUUAGGCUAGAAUAGGUGAGAGGAAGGUAGAAUUCCAGGUGUAGCGGUGAAAUGCGUAGAGAUCUGGAGGAAUACCGAUGGCGAAGGCAGCCUUCUGGCAUCAUAUUGACACUGAGGUUCGAAAGCGUGGGUAGCAAACAGGAUUAGAUACCCUGGUAGUCCACGCCGUAAACGAUGUCUACUAGUCGUUGGGUCCCUUGAGGACUUAGUGACGCAGCUAACGCAAUAAGUAGACCG